CGGUUCAGGACAGUAACAGCCAAACAGGAACCAGAGGGCGUUCUGCCUCCUUGACUCCUCCGACAGGACAAACAGAGGCAGCGCACAGAUAGAUCACCGCUAUGCAAAUAACCCCUGGGUUGGGUUGGGUUUUAAGGAGGCGGGUCCCGUAACUUCUCUUGCAACGUGCUGUCUAUUUAUUUGGUUUUCCAACAUUGAAGCCACCCGCAUUUUGCGAGGCUUCAGCGGAUUAACAGCCACAAAUUAAAAACGCGAGCAGGUGACUAAAUCCGACGGCCAGUUGGAUCCCAACCUAUACAUGUUAACGUUUCUUUUGCCUUAGAUAUGCGUUGGAGAGUUUUUGUUUAUGUGCCAAACAUUAUCGAGGUGUUCAAAAUCAUGAAAGGAACAGAUAGGCUAGACGCACCGAGUCUCUUGCCCAGGAUAGGGGAAUCAAGAACAGAGACAUAGAUUUAAGGUUACAUAAGGCUACUUUUACUGGUGAUUGGCUGGUGGCAUUUCAAUUAUCCUAUAAUUUUUAUUCCUUGCUAUCUGUCAUCUGUUAUUCUUGAUGGUGUAGAUGGAUUUUCAGCUCGCCGGUUAAACCAGACAUCUGAAUUUGGAGCCUGGUUUGAUGUGCUCAUUGACAACAUUGGGCGUAGCAUGAUGUGGAAUUCGCUCUACGAUUGGGGGCAUUUUAUGAGCAGCUUAGAGUGGUGUGUUUUCGUCUGUACACACAGCUCCUUGGGCUCUGACUGGAAGAAGAAGUUUGAGAAGAGUCCUUGGUUGAUUCAGAAAAUCAUGUCAAAUGAUUUCAGGUCUGUUCUAGGAACAUGGGCCAUCAGUGGAAUACACAUACUUCCCAUUUGGUUGUAUGGGUACCAGAAACUGAUUUUAACAAAGUCACUUGUGCUGCCUGUAACUGCUGCCUCUAUCUACAGCGAGUGGUUUGUAACAGGAUUACUCAUCUCUGGAAGGAUACUUUGUAUGGGUGCGGAGCUCUGGUGUAUCUGGAUCCAUAUCGUAUUCCUUGUACAAAAUGAAGACAAAGGAAAAUAAUGGACAGAUUAUCUAUUCACUCAAGACUAGUUUACUCAGGAACUCGACUCUGUUGAAUGAAGGUAGUCGGACACUGCAAUACAAUUACGUACAGUAUAAUUUAAGAUUUAAAAUGUUUUCACUG